rnacentral:rRNA from 1 species
GUCUAUGGCCAUGCCACCUUGAACAAGCCUGAUGUAUAAUCUCAGAAACUAAGCAGGGUCGGGCCUGGUUAGUACUUGGAUGAGACACCACCUAGGAAGACGAGGUGCUAUAGACA